CUGCGCGGCGGAGACCGGGAC
rnacentral:miRNA from 1 species